GUCCAUGCCGUAAACGAUGUCUACUAGCCGUUGGGGCCUUUGAGGCUUUAGUGGCGCAGCUAACGCGAUAAGUAGACCGCCUGGGGAGUACGGUCGCAAGACUAAAACUCAAAUGAAUUGACGGGGGCCCGCACAAGCGGUGGAGCAUGUGGUUUAAUUCGAUGCAACGCGAAGAACCUUACCUGGUCUUGACAUAGUAAGAGCUUUUCCAGAGAUGGAUUUGUGCCUUCGGGAACUUACAUACAGGUGCUGCAUGGCUGUCGU
rnacentral:rRNA from 1 species